rnacentral:RNase_P_RNA from 1 species
CCGGAAGGGCGGAAGGUCGCUCGCGGUUUCGGCCGCGGGAGGAAAGUCCGAACUCCGCAGGGCAGGGGGCCGCGUAACCCCGGUUAGGCCGGGGAUACACGCGGGGAGUCCGUUCGAAAGGGCGGGUUCACAGACAGUGCCACAGAAAACAAACCGCCGGGUCCCGUUCGCGGGAUUCGGUAAGGGUGAAAAGGCGGGGUAAGAGCCCACCGCCCGACGUGUAAACGGCGGGGCAUGGAAAACCUCCCCUGGAGCAAGACCAAAUAGGGGGUCGUGGAACGGCCCGUUCCAUUCCGGCGCAAGUCGGACGAUCCCGGGUAUCGGUCGCUCAGACAAAUGACCUUCUCCCCCGUCUUCGGGCGGGGAAGACAGAAUUCGGCUUACAGCCCUUCCGGAACA